UACGGGGGGGGCAAGCGUUGUUCGGAAUUACUGGGCGUAAAGGGCGCGUAGGCGGUCAGACCAAGUCGAGUGUGAAAUUCCAGGGCUUAACUCUGGCACGCUCGCUCGAUACUGGUCGGCUAGAGUGUGGAAGAGGAUGCUGGAAUUCCCGGUGUAGCGGUGAAAUGCGUAGAUAUGACAUAGAACACCAAUUGCGAAGGCAGCUGGCUACACAUAUAUUGACACUGAGGCACGAAAGCGUGGGGAUCAAACAGG
rnacentral:rRNA from 1 species